UACAGAGGUCCCGAGCGUUGUUCGGAUUCAUUGGGCGUAAAGGGUGCGUAGGUGGCAUGGUAAGUCGGAUGUGAAAUCCCGGGGCUCAACCCCGGAACUGCAUUCGAUACUGCUGCGCUAGAGUACUGGAGAGGAGAUUGGAAUUUACGGUGUAGCAGUGAAAUGCGUAGAUAUCGUAAGGAAGACCAGUGGCGAAGGCGGAUCUCUGGACAGUUACUGACACUGAGGCACGAAGGCCAGGGAGCAAACGGG
rnacentral:rRNA from 1 species